GCAAGUCGAGGGGUAACAGAGGAGCUUGCUCUUGCUGACGACCGGCGCACGGGUGCGUAACGCGUAUACAAUCUACCUUUUGCUGAGGGAUAGCCCAGAGAAAUUUGGAUUAAUACCUCAUGGUAUUAUUGAUAGGCAUCUAUUAAUAAUUAAAGGUUACGGCAAAAGAUGAGUAUGCGUCCCAUUAGCUAGUUGGUGAAGUAACGGUUCACCAAGGCAACGAUGGGUAGGGGUCCUGAGAGGGAGAUC
rnacentral:rRNA from 1 species